GUUAGGAAUAUUGGACAAUGGGCGCAAGCCUGAUCCAGCCAUGCCGCGUGAGUGAUGAAGGCCUUCGGGUUGUAAAGCUCUUUAGCCGAUGAUUAUAAUGACUGUAGUCGGAAAAUAAGCCCCGGCUAACUUCGUGCCAGCAGCCGCGGUAAUACGAAGGGGGCGAGCGUUAUUCGGAAUCACUGGGCGUAAAGCGUGCGUAGGCGGCUUUGCAAGUUGGGAGUGAAAGCCCAGGGCUCAACCCUGGAAUUGCGCUCAAAACUGCAAGGCUCGAAUUCGGGAGAGGAUAGCGGAAUUGUCAGUGUAGCAGUGAAAUGCGUAGAUAUUGACAGGAACACCAGUGGCGUAAGCGGCUAUCUGGACCGAUAUUGACGCUGAGGCACGAAAGCGUGGGGAUCAAACAGGAUUAGAAACCCUGGUAGUCC
rnacentral:rRNA from 1 species